GAUGAACGCUGGCGGCGUGCUUAACACAUGCAAGUCGAACGGUGAACACGGAGCUUGCUCUGUGGGAUCAGUGGCGAACGGGUGAGUAACAUGUGAGCAACCUGCCCCUGACUCUGGGAUAAGCGUUGGAAACGGCGUCUAAUACUGGAUACGAACCGCGAAGGCAUCUUCAGUGGUGGGAAAGACUGUUUGGUUGGGGAUGGGCUCGCGGCCCAUCAGCUUGUUGGUGCGGUAAUGGCUCACCAAGGCGUCGACGGGUAGCCGGCCUGAGAGGGUGACCGGCCACACUGGGACUGAGACACGGCCCAGACUCCUACGGGAGGCAGCAGUGGGGAAUAUUGCACAAUGGGCGGAAGCCUGAUGCAGCAACGCCGCGUGAGGGAUGACGGCCUUCGGGUUGUAAACCUCUUUUAGCAGGGAAGAAGCGAAAGUGACGGUACCUGCAGAAAAAGCGCCGGCUAACUACGUGCCAGCAGCCGCAGUAAAAC
rnacentral:rRNA from 1 species